GGCUCAGUAGCAGAGGGUCUGCAUCUGCUUCUGUUUAACAAAAUUUGUUCUUCCUUGUGCAGAUAAAGCCUGUUCAACUCAGGCCUGAGCCC